UACACUAAAGUCUCUCUUGAAACUCACACAAAACACACUCUUCACAUACCCUUCACACACUAGUCAUUAUUCUCUCAAGAAAAACUCUUUUUCUCCCUCUUUCUUUCUUCAAUUCGGCCAGCCAAGAACAAGGGUGAAACAAAGCUAAAAUCCAUCUAAACACUUGUUAAUAAUAAGGGUUUAAGUUAGGUGAAGCAAGGGUUUGAUUAGGCUAAGGUUUAAGGGUUGUUUUGAGGUUGAAACGAGGGUUAUUGGAGGUUUUUUGGGUCACGAAAAUCUGCACUUUUUCUUCAACAAAAACUUGUUCUUCAAGGGUUUAGAGCCGUAAGUUAGCUAAUGGACCGCCUCUGGAUGUUGCAUUUGUUUGUUGCUUGAUGGCUUGUAAUGCAAACAAUUAUCUUUUAAAUUUGGAUUUGGAUUAUGUAAUGGUUUAUCGACAAUUUAAUUUGAACUAUGUAACCUCUUGAUUGGGAUGAUUUUAAGACUUUAAUUAUGAUGUUUUCCAUUUAA